UNNGUAUACAUAAUUUAAUUAAAAUGCUAGGCCGUGACCCU
rnacentral:tRNA from 1 species